UACGGAGGGUGCGAGCGUUGUCCGGAAUCACUGGGCGUAAAGGGCGCGUAGGCGGCCUGAUAAGUAGGGGGUGAAAUCCUGUGGCUUAACCGCAGGGCUGCCUUCUAAACUGUCGGGCUAGAGCACAGUAGAGGCAGGUGGAAUUCCCGGUGUAGCGGUGGAAUGCGUAGAGAUCGGGAAGAACAUCAGUGGCGAAGGCGGCCUGCUGGGCUGUUGCUGACGCUGG
rnacentral:rRNA from 1 species